UACGUAGGGUGCGAGCGUUAAUCGGAAUACUGGGCGUAAAGCGUGCGCAGGCGGUGAUGUAAGACCGAUGUGAAAUCCCCCGGGCUUAACCUGGGAACUGCAUUGGUGACUGCAUUGCUGGAGUAUGGCAGAGGGGGGUGGAAUUCCACGUGUAGCAGUGAAAUGCGUAGAGAUGUGGAGGAACACCGAUGGCGAAGGCAGCCCCCUGGGCCAAUACUGACGCUCAUGCACGAAAGCGUGGGGAGCAAACAGG
rnacentral:rRNA from 1 species